rnacentral:rRNA from 1 species
GAUCAUCGGCUCAGGACGAACGCUGGCGGCGUGCUUAACACAUGCAAGUCGAACGGUGACCCAGGGCUUGCCCUGGUGAUCAGUGGCGAACGGGUGAGUAACACGUGGGCAACCUGCCCCUGACUUCGGGAUAACUCCUCGAAAGAGGAGCUAAUACCGGAUACGACCACUUCGGACAUCCGAUGGUGGUGGAAAGUUUUUCGGUCAGGGGAUGGGCCCGCGGCCUAUCAGCUAGUUGGUGGGGUAAUGGCCUACCAAGGCGACGACGGGUAGCCGGCCUGAGAGGGCGACCGGCCACACUGGGACUGAGACACUGCCCAGACUCCUACGGGAGGCAGCAGUGGGGAAUAUUGCGCAAUGGCGAAAGCCUGACGCAGCGACGCCGCGUGAGGGAUGAAGGCCUUCGGGUUGUAAACCUCUUUCAGCAGGGACGAAGCGAAAGUGACGGUACCUGCAGAAGAAGCACCGGCUAACUACGUG